rnacentral:rRNA from 1 species
GACGAACGCUGGCGGCGUGCCUAACACAUGCAAGUCGAACGGAAAGGCCCUGCUUUUGUGGGUUGCUCGAGUGGCGAACGGGUGUGUAACACGUGAGUAACCCGCCCUUGACUUUGGGAUAACUUCAGGAAACUGGGGCUAAUACCGGAUAGGUGCUCUUGCUGCAUGGUGGGGGUUGGAAAGUUUCGGCGGUUGGGGAUGGACUCGCGGCUUUUCAGCUUGUUGGUGGGGUAGUGGCUUACCAAGGCUUUGACGGGUAGCCGGCCUGAGAGGGGGACCGGCGACAUUGGGACUGAGAGACGGCCCAGAAUCCUACGGGAGGCAGAGGUGGGGAAUAUUGCGCAAUGGGCGGGAGCCUGAUGCAGAGACGCCGCGUGCGGAAUAACGGCCUUCGGGUUGUAAACAGCUUUCGCCUGUGACGAAGAGUGAGUGACGGUAAUGGGUAAAGAAGCACCGGCUAACUACGUG